rnacentral:lncRNA from 1 species
GCAGCUUUUGCUUCCCUGCUUAUUAAAAACAUUAACAACAAGCAGCAGAGCACCCAGUCAGGUAGUUAUUCUAGUGAAGACAGACAGGAAGCCGAAUUAUUUUGCAGUAGUAUUAUUACUACAGUAGGAGUAGCAUAACAAAGAAACAGGCAAUAAUACAAAACGAGUCUGGGAAAAGUCAUAAGCUUACACCAAUGCAUUAAAAGUAGUACAUUCUUUUACAUUUGUUUGAAUUAUGAACAUGUCCAUCUGAUGCAGUUACUUACUCGAUCACAUACAUGUGACCUGAGUGACUCCAUCUUCCUGGUCAAAUUGUCCAUCAUCCAGCUCCCUUAAUACUCCAUCGCUGCUACCGAACCCCGAGAAACCUCCAUACUGGGAGGAGGCCUCUUUGAUACAACAUUGUUUAGAAGGAGACAGGUGAAACUCAUCAGGUGGUUGUCCAAUUUCUACAGGGUGAGAAGUACCAGCAUCUAAUCCAACACUUCUGCUAGCAGCUUUGCCUUUUUCCUCCCCAGUAACUUGCCUCAAGGAUUUCUUCUCUGGUGUCUGGACAGCAGGAUUCCAUACGACAGGUCUCUGAAGAAAAACAACUUGCUUUGUGGCCAGAUUUCCUUCACUGUCGUGUCGUACAAUAGGUGUAGGCAGGACACAGGUCAGGAGCCAUCCAAACUCAGCCAAUGUGUUCAGUAAAGGUCCAUAAUCUGUUUUCACUUCACACCCCUCAAUGACUGUCCAUUGUUCAACAACAAUUGCAUCAUUUCCUUUCCUGUUAGAACCUGGAACCCCAGAACCUUCUUCUUCAUAGAUAAAUAAUCCUUCUAAAGAUCUGGGCAAAUGGUCACCUUUAGAAAUUUCCCAGUGUACAAAAGAAUCAAUUAAAGAUAAUCCUUGUUUGUAGUAAAAUGUGGUUAGUUCUAGCCAGUCUGCUUCCAGUGUAUUGAUAACUGGUCCCUUUCUUGUCACUUUCAUGGACAAGGCGCCUUCAUGAUAGGUCCAGCAGGUAGAGUCAUCAUCAAAAACAUUGAAGACCGUGUACAGCUUGUCAUUUCCCUUUCGUGGUUUAAUAGGGCUGACUUCUUUUCCAAACUGGAAAUCUGCAUCUUGUAACAGUCCACUAUCUGCUUGCAUUUCCUCUUCAUUCCCACUCUCAGAUAGGUUAUCACACAGUGACCUUUCAUUCCAGUUUUUGUAGUCAUCAUCGGAACUUAUUCUUCUGUGUUCCCUAUUUCUUCCGCCCAGCGUCAAUUCCAGCUCUGCACUCCCAUCUGUGCUUGCUCCAUUACAGGCUUUAAUUUGAGGAAAAUGUUGUGUUACAAAUCCCACAAACUUCUUUCCUCUUUUAGCUGCUUCAUUAACCUUUUCUAACAGUUCUUUCACUACCUCAUUUGUCAGUGUGUCAUACGUUACAGGACAUUCCUCAAUCACUAGCCUGGGGUUCCUUUGUCCUCUGGGUGCUGCAUGCUUCUGGCUCAAUUUUAAUCGUGAAAGUACCACCCGAUACAUGUGACUUGCAGGGAAAUUUCUUCUAUGUCCAAUUGGCAGCAGAAUAGGAUGAACAGCUCCUACGACAUAUCCUUUGCUGUAAUAUUCUUCCACCUUAGAUGCUAUAUCCAACACAGAACCGAUCUUGAUAACUUCUGGAUUAGAGGAAGCUUCUAAAGUAAAAUCCAGCAAUAUAUAUUCAUAAGCAGAAUCGGCCUUUGUUUCAACUUGUGGUCUCUUCAAUGUAGAAAAAAUUUUUCCAGGGCUGCUAUCAUCUGGGUCUUCCAGCUUUCUCAGUCCGCACCCCAUGGUAAAAUCUGCAAGUGAUUAAAUCUCAGGAGAAGGAGGGGGGAGCAACAAGAUCCGCUGCUCUCACUAAAAAACAAAACAACAACAAAAAAAACCAAAAAGAACCCCAAAACCAGUAACCAAGUGAUUCCCUUUGAUUUUAUUAACCAUAAAUCCAAAUACAUAAAAAGUCUGUCUCCCAAAAUAAAAAGUGAAGGUACUUCCCAUUCAUUUUUCAUAUAUAAACAGCAAAUCCAUAAUGAUUUCAAGCCAUAGACUUGGUUCCAGUAGGCUUGAUUUUGCAGCAAUGUUAGAGCUGCUAAAAGCUAGGAGAGAUUUUCCAUGCCACGUCAAUUUACAGCCAGCCCCCUAUCAGUGCUCUCUCGCAGAGGACACCAAUAGUGCUUUGUUUGUCCUUCUAGACCGACUGAGUAAGAAGGAGGGGCGGCGGGUGAGGGGGGGGGUGGGGGUGGGAAGUGAAGACUGAAAAAGAAAGUUAGAGAAUCUUGUAUGCGUGUAAUUACUUACCUCCAGAAGUAGUACCCAAAUGCAGUAGCAAGGCAGAGGAAAAAAAAAGCAAGUUAGUCAGAAUGAAAGAAUGAGAAAAGAGCCUCAACAUGGUUGGAGACGAAAAUCAUUUCCAGAAAGGAAGUCAGCUUCGAGAGGAAAUUGCUUCUGGCAUCUCAGAGGGCAGAAAAGUAAAUGAAAAGCAGUUUAGUCUUUAUUUUAGAUUUCCAAGUUUGGUUCCUAUUUCCUUUUCACAGAAACUUUCUUCCAGAGGGAGAAAAACAUGAACAUAAUGUAAUAUAAGGUAAUAAUGUAAAAACAUUGUAAAGAAGCCUCAUGUCAAGAAAAUCAUGAAAAUAUGACUAGGAUGAAGCAUAUACAUCACUAAGACCAACUUACAUAAUCCAUUUUGAGAAACACUGAAAAGUAACACCGACAUUCACUUCAGGUCAGAAAGACCUCUUCAAGCUAAUACGAACAUAAUUACCAGACCGCCUGCCCCAUUUUUCAUGGGUAUUGAACAACUGAAGUCCUCUUCUCCUCUGUCAGGCUGACCUCAGCUGAACAACUCUGUGUGUUCAGCACUGCUCCCUAAGCAUCUUUCUUCUUCAAGCCCUGAAAAUUCAAUGUAAUUUCAAAGGCUCAGAAAACAUUUAAUUAAAAAAAAUAAACAAAAUAAGAAAAAAAAAGAGGGGAAAAAAAUACCAACCAUCACCUAAUAUAAGCCCUCAUUACUCUUACAUUAACCACUGCAACCACUUGUAGUUGUAAUACACCUGAUGCAGACCACAAUAACAUAUAUAGAAAAAAGGAAUGGUGAGUGAUUUUUCGGGGCUCUGGUACUGCAGGGAUGG